rnacentral:rRNA from 1 species
AUUGAACGCUGGCGGCAUGCCUUACACAUGCAAGUCGAACGGCAGCACGGGUGCUUGCACCUGGUGGCGAGUGGCGAACGGGUGAGUAAUACAUCGGAACGUACCUUAUCGUGGGGGAUAACGCAGCGAAAGCUGUGCCAAUACCGCAAACGCCCUGAGGGGGAAAGCGGGGGAUCGCAAGACCUCGACCGAUUAGAGCGGCCGAUGCCUGAUUAGCUUGUUGGUGGGGUAAAAGCCCACCAAGGCGACGAUCAGUAGCUGGUCUGAGAGGACGAUCAGCCACACUGGGACUGAGACACGGCCCAGACUCCUACGGGAGGCAGCAGUGGGGAAUUUUGGACAAUGGGGGCAACCCUGAUCCAGCAAUGCCGCGUGAGUGAAGAAGGCCUUCGGGUUGUAAAGCUCUUUUGUCAGGGAAGAAACACCGGCUCUAACACAGUCCGGGAAUGACGGUACCUGAAGAAUAAGCACCGGCUAACUACGUGCCAGCAGCCGCCGUAA